rnacentral:tRNA from 1 species
GGGCCUAUAGUAUAGUGGCAGUACGCGGCAUUCGCAUUGCCGAGACGCGAGUUCGACUCUCGCUAGGUCCACCA